CACCUCAGACUAAAUCCAGAAACACACUACACAGCUGUCAGGCCGAUUAUAAAUGUAAUUUAGUCGCGACAACUGAUCAUGCCCAAACGGCCCGGGUUUGUUCCAGUUGCGCUUGGUCUGUUUACGGUCUGUGUUUAAAAAAGAUUCUAGUCUUAGGAUUUAAGAACUGCUGUGGAGAUACGUUCCCUGUCAAACAUAAUUCAUUAAAUCAUUAAAGACAUAAUGAAAUAUGUCUACUCAGACGAUAACUGCAAAAAGAAAAUGAGAAAGAGAAACAUAGGACUUUACGAAAAUUAAUUUUUGUAUUCAAGACACAUUACUGUGACAUCAACAUGCAUUAAUCAUUCUUACAAUCACCAUAAGAAUGUCUCACCUUUACCAUGAUCCUAAAAUUUGGGUUCAGUUCAAUUUUCUUCAACAGUUCUCCUCACAAAAUUAAUUUCAAAUAUAAAUUUGAUAACACAGUGGAAAUAUCCAUCAAUGUUCCAAGUAAUGACAACAUUUUUGGUCAACACAACAUAAACAGAUGUUAUAUGCUUUAAUAUAGACUUACCAGGGAUGUGAUUUCCAUAUUUUCUGACCUCGUUGGGAUGACCCGUGUAAAUUGCAUAAAUACAGGGAUUUUGGGGUGCGCGUACGGUCAUCCAACCGGCCAAUUGGAUCCUUGGUGCUUUCUACGUUUUAUGCCAUGCACAUAAUUCAGGUGUUGCUAGAGGGCAAGAAAACCCUCGCUGAGCUUCAUUUCUACUCGAAGGUCUUUCCAUUGCUCAAGCAAUGUUUUGCUGUUUCAAUCUAAAGAUCCAAGGGUUCAUGAGCUCAAGAGAGACUCAUGAGGUGGAUUUUAUCCUGCUUUAUCAAGCCAGAAUACCUGACUGACAGCAAGGGGAAUAAUCUGCCUAGGCCGAAGAUUAAGUUGCUCAACCUGAAGUCACAAGAGUCCUAUCUGUCCAAACCUUUUGUUGGCUUUGAGGCCUCAGCUAUUUUGGACCAAACCGACAGGGACCACCUGUGACCAAGACUUACAGAAUGACUGUAAUCCAGGCCUACAUUAGCUGUGCAGGUGAUCUUCAAGUAAAGCUGCCACUCUCAGGACAUUUUGCUUGGAUCCAGAUGCACGGGGAAAUCAUCAAAUUUUUCCUUGCCUCCAAAAGUUGCCAGACAGCCUCAAUGUAGAGACAUAUGAAUCCUAUCAAGCAGUGAAAUACAACCUGAAGGCCAUACAGGUGUCAGACACUCAGCUCUACUCCAGGAACACCAAGGAGAGUCCAGUUAAUGCAGAAAUGUAAAACUCUCCAACUAGAGGUACAGAGCUCUCCUCAGAGAAAAAGAAAAACGCAACAAACAGCCAUAUCACUCUGUCAAGACAACUGAUGACAAGAAAAAGGCCAAAGAUGCCAUUGUUGCAGCAGCUGGGAGUUUAAGACGAAAUGUGAAUGAAAGCUUUGAAGUUUGCAGCUAAGGCUAAAUAAUAUUUGAUAUACUGUUAGUUAGUAGUGCCUAAUUUGUGUACUUUAAUGAAUAUGUUUAAUGAAAGUUAAUAAAUCGAAAAUUUCUAUAAAA